AGAGUUUGAUCCUGGCUCAGCCUGAACGCUGGCGGCGUGGCUAAGACAUGCAAGUCGUACGGGUGGAGCAAUCCACCAGUGGCGGACGGGUGAGUAAAGUAUCGCUAACGUGCCCCCGGGUCCGGGAUAGCCGAGGGAAACUUCGGGUAAUACCGGGUGACAUACCACUCCCGCAUGGGCGUGGUCUCAAAGGGAAACCGCCCGGGGAGCGGGCGAUACCGUAUCAGCUGGUUGGCGGGGUAACGGCCCACCAAGGCGACGACGCGUAGCCGGACUGAGAGGUUGGCCGGCCACAUUGGGACUGAGACACUGCCCAGACUCCUACGGGGGGCUGCAGUAACGAAUCUUCCGCAAUGCACGCAAGUGUGACGGAGCGACGCCGCGUGGAGGAGAAGCCCUUCGGGGUGUAAACUCCUGUCAGGAGGUACCAAGUUCUGAGGACCUCCAGAGGAAGGCACGGCUAACUCUGUGCCAGCAGCCGCGGUAAGACAGAGGUGCCGAGCGUUAGGCGGAAUCACUGGGCUUAAAGCGUGUGUAGGCGGGCCGCUGAGUGCCUUGUGAAAUCCCCCGGCUCAACCGGGGAACUGCUGGGCAUACUGGCGGCCUUGAGCGGCCCAGGGGCGGACGGAACAGGCGGUGGAGCGGUGAAAUGCGUAGAUAUCGCCUGGAACGCCGACGGUGAAAACAGUCCGCUGGGGGCCAGCUGACGCUGAGACACGAAAGCCAGGGGAGCGAACGGGAUUAGAUACCCCGGUAGUCC
rnacentral:rRNA from 1 species